UACGUAGGGUGCGAGCGUUGUCCGGAAUUAUUGGGCGUAAAGAGCUCGUAGGCGGUGUGUCACGUCGGCCGUGAAAACCUGGGGCUUAACUCUGGGCGUGCGGUCGAUACGGGCAUCACUAGAGUUCGGCAGGGGAGACUGGAAUUCCUGGUGUAGCGGUGAAAUGCGCAGAUAUCAGGAGGAACACCGAUGGCGAAGGCAGGUCUCUGGGCAUUAACUGACGCUGAGGAGCGAAAGCAUGGGGAGCGAACAGG
rnacentral:rRNA from 1 species